AGAGAAUCGCUUGAACCCGGGAGGCGGAGGUCGCAGUGAGCUGAGAUCGCACCACUGCACUCCAGCCUGGGCGACAAGA
rnacentral:snRNA from 1 species